GUGAAUAUAGCGCAUCUCUUCGGAGAGCGUGACCUCCACUUUCAACUCUGUGCAUUUUUUUGGCGAGGGAACGAGACGAAGCGACGCAAGUUGCAGACUCUCGCCUCUUGCGGCUCAUUUUUAAACACUAGUUAAAGUAUGUAACGAAAUAUCGAAACAAAAAA
rnacentral:misc_RNA from 1 species